UUAACGAAAUAAGUUUAAUAUUUUUUAACAUUAAUUAUCUAAUCACUAAAUUUUUUAUUAAAAAUUUGAGUCGUUAAAAUCUUAUUUAUCUGCUAAAAUUUUUAUUUGUAUAUAUUUUGGCCACCCUUGUGAUUGAAUACUGGCUCGUUCCUGCUUCUAUAUCUCAUAUAUAAUUCUAACAACCACAUAAAAAUUUGGGAUAAUUGUCUAUAUACCCCUUAUAUGUUUGAAAAUAUUUGAUUUACCCAUACUUUUUUUUUUCUUUCUAAAAUACCCCUCGUAUGUUCCACCGUUAUUGCAAAAUACCCUAGCAGUUAUCUCCUGUUAAGUUAAUUUGGGUUAAACGUGAGUUAAACAUCUACCACAGUUAAAAAAAUAAAAAUACCAAUUUUACCCUUAACUUAAGGGCAAAUAAGAAAUGUUGGUGACGGUAGAGAGGUAUAUUGGAAAAGACCAAAAGUCAAAAUACUUUUGUGCCUCUGACUUUAAGAGCAAAUAAGAAAGUUAGUGAUGGUGGAAGGGUAUAUUUGAAAGGGCAAAAUAAUAAUUUUACAGAGAUAACAGAAUUCAUUAACGGAUUUUAAUUUUAGGGGUUUAUUAUAAAUAGGUUGAAACAUAGAAAGAGUAUUUUCAAUAUUAGCCUUCUAAGAGGGGUAAAUCAAAAAGUCGGGAACUUUUCAGGGGUAUAUAAGCAAUUGCCCCUAAAAAUUUCAACAAGUCACAUAUAAUCUUAACAACCUGAAAAUUCUAAUAAUCUAUCCAAACAAACCUACCAAUCAAAUAAAAAUUCUAAUAAUUCACGUAUAAUCCUAAUAACCACACUUUCCAUAUAAUUCACUUGCUAUUGAAGACGGCGAAUAGUUAACUGUCUUAAUAAAUGCGGUGAACGAUUCACCACCUUUAAAAGGCCUGGGAGACUUUCAGAAUACAGUGAAUAAUUUACUGCGUAUCGGAAAAAAAUCUUACUUGGCUCCUACGUGGCGAAGAGAUGGUUAGUUUGCCAAAUAUAAAUUUGUAUUUCACAAGUUCUAAAAUUUUAGAAAGUUAUUUUGUAAAAAAGUUUCAGAUCAACUUUGUUAUUAAGGUAUCGUUUGGUUCGAGAAUAAGAGGGAGAAUAAGCCCUUGUUUCCCCCUUUUAUUUCCAAAUGUAAAUGUUUAUAUCCAAGAACAGUAGUUCUCGUGUCUCUGGAAUAAGUUGGUAUAAUCCGGUAUAAGUAUGAAACUAUUUUUCCACCCUUUUUCCUGAAACAAGGUUAAUUAAAGUCUAAAUUUAUUUUAAUUCUGGUAUUAAUUCAUUAAUUAAUGUAAUUAAUAUAUUUAAAUCAUUAUUCAUUGCUUAAAUAAUAAAGUAAUUAAUUAACUUAUUACUGAUAAUUAAUUAGCUAGUUAACUAUUAAUAAUUUAAUUGUUAUUUAUAAACUAAUAUUUAUAUUGAUCAACCAUUAAUAUUUUUAUUAUUCUAAUUAAUUUUUUUACUAGUUAUCUAACUAAAAUAAUUUACUAAAUAAUUAAAAAGUUAAAUUAUUUUUUAUAUUUAAUUGAUUAAUUAAUAUAUUUUUAUUAUCUUAUACAAUAUUCAUAGCUAAUAAAUUUAUUAAUUUAUUAAAUUAUUUUUAAUUAAUAUUUUGAUAUUAAUUAAUUAGAUAAAAUAUUUCUAAUUUAAAGUUAUAACUCUUAUUUAUAUUGUUCCAAUCUAACCGUCCAAACAUUAUUUACCUUAUUCCCAGUAACAACCCAAUUUAUUUUCAAAUACAAAAUUAAUCUAGUUUUUGUUUAUAUUUAAACUUGUACCUAUUUCUAGAAUAAACAGUUCUUGUUUAUAUCUGAUCAAACGUAGCCUUAAAAUGUCUACUAUGGAAUUGAGCUACAGAGCCCUUGAACUUUUACUCUAAUUUUCACUUUUUAAAACACAAAUGCACGAAAAUAAUUUUUCUAGCCGAAAAAUAAUUUUUGUUACUUUUUACAGCAAUUCAAACGCAACGUAGGUUCUAAAACAUCUAAAGCUUUGCGAGCUUGUUGUUUUUGGAACGAAAAUUAUUUUGCUUAUAAACAAAUCUCAUAAUAUUUUAUAACUAUUAUAAUUUAGGGUUAAUUGCAUAAAAAUCCCUACAAACAUUAUGAAUUACAGAUAAAUUUCUAUAAAAUUUAAUUUUCAUAAGUUAUUCCUGUAAAAGUCCUUAUGUAUUCAAAUGUGUCGCUACCGUUAGUAUCCGUUAGAGAAAUUUAGUUAACCACAGUUAACUACAUUUUUAAAAAAUUAAUUGCAUAUUGGUCCCCAACCUUUUCGCUAUUUUUAUUUUGGUCUCUAAUUUCUUUUGCAAUUAAAUUUUCAAAUCUCUUAAUUUCAAUGCAAUAAAGGACACUAUUAAUUAAAAGUCCCUAAAGAAGGCCUCUCCUUAUUUUGGGGGGUGUUGUGGGGCCCACAUACAAUUUUUUUUUAAGAAUUAAUCGCACUUGGUCCCAACAUUUUCGCUAUUUUUUAUUUUGGUCCUUAAUUUUUUUUUUUUUUGCAAUUAAAU
rnacentral:lncRNA from 1 species